GACGAACGCUGGCGGCGUGCUUAACACAUGCAAGUCGAACGGAAAGGCCCUGCUUUUUUGGGGUUCUCGGGGGGCGAACGGGUGAGUAACACGUGAGUAACCGGCCCUUGACUUUGGUAUAACUUCAGGAAACGGAGCCUAAGACCGUAUAGCAUCCCCUGCAGCAGUGUGGGCAGUGGAAAGUUGCGGCGGUUGCGGAUGGACGCGCGGCUGAUCAGCUUGUUGGUGGGGGAGUUGCUUACCAAGUAUUGGGAGGGUAGCCCGCCGGUGAGGGUGAACGGCCACAUUGGGACUGAGAGACGGACCAGACUCCAACGGGAGGCAGUAGUGGGGAAUAUUGUACAAUGGGCCGAAGCCUGAUGCAGCAACGCUGCGUGCGGGAUGACGGCCUUCUGGUUAUGAACCGCUUUCGCUUGUGACGCCGCGUGAGUGACGGUAAUGGGUAAAGAAGCACCGGCUAACUACGUG
rnacentral:rRNA from 1 species